UACGGGGGGGGCAAGCGUUGUUCGGAAUUACUGGGCGUAAAGGGCGCGUAGGUGGCCAACUAAGUCAGACGUGAAAUCCCUCGGCUUAACCGGGGAACUGCGUCUGAUACUGGAUGGCUUGAGUUUGGGAGAGGGACGCGGAAUUCCAGGUGUAGCGGUGAAAUGCGUAGAUAUCUGGAGGAACACCGGUGGCGAAGGCGGCGUCCUGGACCAAUACUGACACUGGAAACGCGAAAGCCAGGG
rnacentral:rRNA from 1 species